ACUCUUACGAGCGAAGGAUUAGGCAACUCCGAGACUUUAACCCGUGAAAGUUAGGAGCCUUUCCAAACCAGAAGAAGAGGCGGGGCCGAUGAUUCAGGCAACUGAGUCUCAAAUCUCGAACCUUUCCAAACCAGAAGAUGAGGGAGGCCGAUGAUUGAGGCAACUCUCAAAUCUCGAACUGGGUAACCAUUCUUCCUACUUAUCUCCUAAAUCAAAUAGUUUUUGUCUCAACCAAAUCAAAUGCUACGUUUCAUUUGCUCAAAAUUGCCCCAAAAACUGAGGCACAGACCUUCGAAACCUAGCCACGCAAACUUUUUCUCAACCUCCUCCCUCAAACCCACCUCAGAACUUCCUAAUCGCGAGGAUCCACAAUCUCUGAUAGUCUCCUUCCUCCAAAAUUCAUGUGGGCUUUCGUUCGAAUCAGCCAUUUUGUAUUCCAAGAAGCUCAACAUUGAGAACGUAAAGAAUACCAACUCCGUUCUAGACCUGUUGAGAAAUCACGGUUUGAGGCUGACCCACAUCAGGAACUUAAUUAGAAUUCGUCCACCAUUGAUUUCGGCUGAUUUAGAGAAUACCCUUAUGCCCAACAUGAAAGUGUUUGAAUCCUUGGGGUUUUCUGGUUCAGGUCUCGCCAGAAUGCUUAGCAAAUACCCCGCUGUGCUAGAAAGUGAUGCACACGCUGUUGUUGAGUUUUUUAGGGCACAUGGUUUUAGUUAUGAGCAAAUAACAACUUUGACGAUGAAGCGUCCCUCAUUGUAUAUGUAUAAUGCUGACAAGAUUUUUAAGCCGAAGCUGGAGUUUUUCAAAUCGUUAGGCUUGUCAGAUCUUGAAAUUGCACAGCUUUUAUCCUCUGAGCCUUGUAUUCUAACAAGGAGCCUCGAAAAACAAAUCAUUCCGUGUGUUCAAGAGCUUAGACGGGUUCUUGGCACUGAUGAGAAUGUCUUAAAGGUUAUAAAGGCAUGCUACCUAAUACUCGAAUCAAACAUGGUUCAUAUGCUACAGCCCAACAUCGACACGUUGAAAAGCCAUGGUGUUCCCCAGUCAUUAGUUUUGAAACUCAUCCUUAUAAAACCACUGUCAGUGCUUAUCUGCGGCAAUCGGUUUGGUGAGAUUGUUAGUGAAGUUAUGAAAUUGGGUUUUGAUCCCAAUUAUCUGUCGUUUGUUCUAGCCAUCAGGUCCAUGGCACUAAAUAGUAAGCCACUGUGGGAGCAGAAGGUGGGAGCUUUUAGAAGUUUUGGUUUGUCAGAGGAUGAAAUUUAUUUGGCAUUCAAGCGGCAACCCUUGUGUAUGACUUCUUCAGAGAAGAAGAUUAAGAAAGUUAUGGGUUUCUUUGUGAACAAACUGAAGAUGAAGCCUUCUAUGAUCUCCAAGAGUCCAAAUCUUCUACUGCAUAGCUUGGAGAGGCGGAUUAUUCCGAGGUGUUCAGUUCUGCAAGUUUUGAUGUUGAAGGGGUUAAUCAAGGAGGAUAUUGGCAUCCCUUAUAUGGUCACAAUGGCCGAGAAGAAAUUCAUGGUGAAAUUUGUGAGCAAGUAUCAAAAUGAGGUUCCUGAUGUUGUUAGAGCGCACCAAGGGAAGAUUGAAUUUCAAGGGCUCCCCAUAGCCAUGGAUAUGAGUACUUUUGACAUAAUCAAAUGAGGCAUUGGCUAAAGAUCAUGAGUUCAGUUUUGGUUCAACAUGUUUGCAGUUGGGUAAAUUACUUUUUGGAGGUGUCUCAGAAACUUUAUAUGGGUAGGAUGAUGCUUCCAUAUCGUGGAGAAAAAGGAAGAAGCACUUUUUGCCAGAAACUGCACAGUUUUCAUGCCAAUGCACAUUUUUAUAUUGACGCUCUCAUAUUGACUGCCAGAUACGGAGACAAACACAAGCUAGCAGGAUUUUCUGAUUUUGCUGGUUUAUGAUGGGUUGAAAUGUUAUGAACAAAAUGUUCAGGAUCCAUUGCCCAUAGUUCAUAGUCUCUAUCCAUUGUCUUUGUUUUUAAUUACCUGUUGUGAAUUGUAGAAUUGGGCAGUGAAUUGUGGAAUUGGAUGUUGUGGAAUGCUGCAGUAUUUUACUGAUUGGUGCAAUUAGAUGUUGUAAUUUUAUUGUCUCUAGUGUAAAGAGUUGUUUUGUUA